AUGUUUAGGAGCAGGAUCUGCCCAAGAACGACCUGUGGUGGUACGGAAGGCACGGACUCCGCAAGCGUCCCGCACCCUCUGAGAAAGAAACUCCUCAACCAUCACAAGAUAAAGAAGUAUGACGCUCUGUGUCUGACUCUAUUGGUCAUAGUUCCUUGCUGUUGCGGCCGGUGCUCGUUUGCGCGCGUGUGA
rnacentral:rRNA from 1 species